rnacentral:rRNA from 1 species
UACGUAGGGGGCGAGCGUUGUCCGAAAUUACUGGGCGUAAAGCGCACGUAGGUGGCUUGUAAGUUACAUCUUAAAGACAGCAGCUCAACUGCUGUAAGUGGUGUAAGACUGUGAAGCUUGAGGCAAGCAAAAGAGUGUGGAACUCCGAGUGUAGCGGUGGAAUGCGUAGAGAUCCGGAAGAACACCGGUGGCGAAGGCGGUCUGCUGGGGUAAUGCUGACACUGAUGCGCGACAGCGUGGGGAGCAAACAGG